GUCACCUGGACGCCCCUCACCUGACCGGCUGCCCCGCCGGAAGAGACUUUGGUGGAGCUGCUUUGUUUCGGAGGCAGAUUACACAGCAUCAAAUCCAGGACCUCACGUUGCAUUUCCUUGACCUGCCUUAUCGGUGUCCUCCAAAUUGUGACAGUUCCUCAGUCAUCUCCAAUCUUUCAUGACCUUCAUACUUUUUCAAGAGUACUGAUCAGGCAAACAAACUGAGACGGAAGAUGUAAAGUGAUGUCUCCAGGAUGGAUAUGAAGUUGCAAAAGUCAAACUUAAACUCAGUUCUGCUGACUCCUUUCCCGAGUUGUCCCUCUCAGUGGCGUGUGCAUCUCAAUAAGGAUCAGUCUUCCGUGAAAGCUGCAGGAUUCAAACCAGGGACUCCCGGAGAUAUUUAGGAGAUUGGAGCGCUGGAGCCCUCCCAGGGUCCCUGAAAACCCAGCACAGCAGCAACCUGUGGGUAAUACUCCCCUGGGAACAAGUCUCACCCCUCACCCUGAGGGGUAGCCCUGCAGCCGCCUCCUUGGCCGCCUGGAAUGGCCUUCCUGCCAAGUCCAAAGACUGUCUUCCUCUGGGGCCAGGGCUUCUGAAUUGCUUUCUGUGGGCUCAUUCCUACUUUUCAUUAGAUUAGGUGCAAACACUCUGAGUAAACAAGAUAAAAAUUCCC